UACGAAGGGGGCUAGCGUUGCUCGGAAUGACUGGGCGUAAAGGGCGCGUAGGCGGAUGGCAUAGUCAGAUGUGAAAUUCCCGGGCUUAACCUGGGGACUGCAUUUGAUACGUGUAGUCUUGAGUUCGGAAGAGGGUCGUGGAAUUCCCAGUGUAGAGGUGAAAUUCGUAGAUAUUGGGAAGAACACCGGUGGCGAAGGCGGCGACCUGGUCCGAUACUGACGCUGAGGCGCGAAAGCGUGGGGAGCAAACAGG
rnacentral:rRNA from 1 species